AGGGCACCACCAGGAGUGGAGCCUGCGGCUUAAUUUGACUCAACACGGGGAAACUCACCCGGCCCGGACACCAUAAGGAUUGACAGAUUGAUAGCUUUUUCAUGAUUUGGUGGAUGGUGGUGCAUGGCCGUUCUUAGUUCGUGGAGCGAUUUGUCUGGUUUAUUCCGAUAACGAGCGAGACUCUAGCCUACUAAAUAGUCUGCACAUUGCUUCUGUGUUGCAGUACUUCUUAGAGGGAUUUUCGGUGUACAGCCGCACGAGAUUGAGCAAUAACAGGUCCGUGAUGCCCUUAGAUGUCCGGGGCUGCACGCGCGCUACACUGGCGAAAUCAGCGUGCUUGUCCUUGCUCGAAAGAGCUUGGUAAACCAAUGAAAAUUUGCCGUGAUUGGGAUCGGAAAUUGCAAUUAUUCUCCGUGAACGAGGAAUUCCAAGUAAAUGCGAGUCAUCAACUCGCGUUGAUUACGUCCCUGCCCUUUGUACACACCGCCCGUCGCUGCCCGGGACUGAGCCAUUUCGAGA
rnacentral:rRNA from 1 species